AGUCGCCUGGUCCCUCGCUCGCCGCAGCCUAGACGGCGGACGCUCCCUGUCAAGGCCUAAUUCCUGCAACUCGCCGGCCCCCGCCUAUUCCUGUACACCCUUCUCAACAAUGAUGUAAUGAUACAAGGAGCAUAAUAGCAUCAAUAAUGGAUCUUCAGGAAGAACCCACUAUACAUAAACAAGGUAGACCAGUGCUCAGUUUGAACAUAAAUUUGACACAUUAAUUUCAAUAAGAACUUCAGGAAUGUUGCAUUUUAAUCAAAGCUGUGCACGAUGCAAGGUAAUUAGCAUAUUAAAAUGAACUAAAUAACUUUCACUUUCUUUCCAUAAAUCUUUAUGGUAGCAGAAUUUCUGAGACAAAAUUGAGAAGUUAGCUUUUGUGGUGGUUUUUAUCCCACACCAGAGAGCCUCAUCAAUUUUCGGCACUUCGCUCAUGAAGGCUCUGGAUUUUUUAGGUUUCACCACCCCCCCACCAACCCCUAUAACUUAGGUGUUAUCAUUACCAGUACAUAUGCUCUUUCCCCCUUUUCUCCAGCUUCCUCUUCUUUUUUCAGUGUAUCCUAGCCAAUCUAAGAAACUAAACAAUAAAAUAUUUCUAAUAAUGCA